ensembl:snoRNA SNORD58 Small nucleolar RNA SNORD58
UUGCAGUGAUGACAUCUUAGGACACCUUUGGAUUACCCAUGAAAAGAAUUCAAGAAUAACUGAGCCAC